rnacentral:rRNA from 1 species
CCUACGGGGCGCAGCAGUGGGGGAUAUUUCACAAUGGGGGGAACCCCGAUGCAGCGACGCCGCGUGGGUGAAGGAGCGUUUCGGCGCGUAAAGCCCUAUCGGCAGGGAAGAAGGAGGACGGUACCUGACUAAGAAGCCCCGGCUAACUACGUGCCAGCAGCCGCGGUAAUACGUAGGGGGCAAGCGUUAUCCGGAUUUACUGGGUGUAAAGGGGGCGCAGACGGCAGCGUAAGCCAGGUGUGAAAGCCCGGAGCCCAACCACGGGACUGCUUUUGGAACUGCGCGGCUGGAGUGCAGGAGGGGCAGGCGGAAUUCCUGGUGUAGCGGUAAAAUGCGUAGAGAUCAGGAGGAAUACUGGUGGCGAAGGCGGCCUGCUGGACUGCUACUGACGUUGAGGCCCGAAAGCGUGGGGAGCAAACAGGAUUAGAUACCCCAGUAGUC